rnacentral:tRNA from 1 species
GGCUCAGCGGCCAGAGUGCCGGCCUGUCGAGCCGGAAGCCGCGGGCUCAAGUCCGGCA